CCACACACAAGCCACAAAGAAGCCAUCAGCCGCGGUCAACAGCACCUUCCUGAUUGAACAGAACCACGCGUUGUCUGUGUGGUUUACAAGUUUCUUGGCGAUAUGGGGGGAAAGUUCCUCACAUACCAACGGAAAAUGGGCUUCAUAUACAUGCUGCUGUCUCAUAAUAUGGCGAAGACGAGUCACCUGAAGGCCUAACUCGCCAUAGAAGACUGAAAGAAUUGUCCUGCAGGAUGCUGUGUCCUGCAAUCCUGUGUGCUGUGCUACAGACGCGUGUGGAGGUCAACCCAAAAUGGGCACAGUCACCACAGAAGAGUGAAAGAGGAUCCUGGCAGGGAGACGGUAGUGUCCUGCAGAAUGGUGAUGGGCCAAUCUUACAAGAGACCACAGAAAACUGAUAUAGUGAACUAUAGAAACAACAGUGCCUGCUGCAGUAUAACGAGGACACCCUGAGCAGAGAGCUCCAAUAGACCCAGGUCCAGUGUCUUGGCAGGGUGAAAUGGCACUGAUAUGGUGUCCUGCAGGAUGCUGUGUCCUGCAAUCCUGUGUGCUGUGCUACAGACGCGUGUGGAGGUCAACCCAAAAUGGGCACAGUCUCACCACAGAAGAGUGAAAGAGGCUCCCAGAAGUGAGACUGAGUGCCUGUUGCAGUAUGACGAGGACGCAGUGACCAGAGACCUUCAGUAGACCCUGCUGGCAUGAUUGGCGUCUGAAGAACAUGAAAUCAACAGCAAUGUUUAUAAUGUUGUACAUACCUGUAUAGUCUGUAUUAAAAGGCAGUACCUGUA